rnacentral:rRNA from 1 species
UACGUAGGGAGCAAGCGUUGUCCGGAAUCAUUGGGCGUAAAGCGCGCGUAGGCGGCCCUGUAAGUCCGUUGUGAAAGUCAAAGGCUCAACCUUUGAAUGCCGGUGGAUACUGCAGGGCUAGAGUCCGGAAGAGGCGAGUGGAAUUCCUGGUGUAGCGGUGAAAUGCGCAGAUAUCAGGAGGAACACCGAUGGCGAAGGCAGCUCGCUGGGACGGUACUGACGCUGAGGCGCGAAAGCGUGGGGAGCAAACAGG